CGAAGCUCUUCCUCCUUUCUUCUUUCUUUCUUUUUGAUUAAGUUUAACCUUGAGGAAUCAAGGUUAAUUGACUUGGGAGAAGCAUGGAGAUCUUAUCGAGCCAACUUAUCAAUAUGAGUACGUGACCUACUUAUUGGGCAAGUGAUUUGCUCACUCCAUUUGUUAAUAUUUUCAUUGAAGGAUGGGUUUUACGAGAUGAUGUAUGAUCAGGUAUGGGAGCUUCUAGGGAGGACUAAAGACUUGUUUAGAUCAGUCUUACUUUGGCUGUUUUGUUUGGUAACUUUUGUAUAUAGAAUUAGAUGAUGGCAGUAAAUGGUUAUAUUUUGUAUGGAAUGUUGAAUUUUGGGUCAUGCGAAUUGCUACAGAUGUACAUGGUAGGAAGAUUUAGAAGUCAGUAGGUACAAAGCUUUAAUUAUUUGAUUUUGAUUCUAAACAAGGUGAUGUUCUGUCCUGGUUUUGGGGGCGUGACACAAAGACACAUAAAUGAUAUUCUAAAAAUAAUCAACACUUUAUUUUCUUAAAGCCA